rnacentral:lncRNA from 10 species
CUGUUAUAUUACAUUUAUUAAGAAGUGAUAACUUGUAAUAAUUGGAUGUUAAAUUAAAGAACUCUCUCCUAGUUAUUGCCGUCUCAAUUAUAACUGUCGUUGGCUGGCAGUUAUAAUGAUAUAUGAGGGUUGUAUUUUACGCAGCCGACCAUGACCUGGUGAGUAAUAUUCCCCCAGCUAUGGGGGCACUCAUGCACUCCUUGGCUUCCAACGCCUUGCUUGGGUGCUGAUUGGAAUAUUAAGUUUCUGCAAGACUGAGAUGCCGAAAUCCACACGGAGAGCCGCGACUCCACAGCUGAGAGCCCCCUCUGGCAAUCUCCACCCGCCUCCUGCUUCUCCUCGCUGGUACAUGUCCAACUCAUUUCGGCUUUGUUUUAUGGUUAUAGGAAUCAGGUUUAUUUGUGUUGAAAGAACUAUCAGGGGAAAGGAAGAAGAGAAGACAGACCAGCAUGGAUGCAAAAUCAGGGACUUCAAGGGAUUUCCAGAUCCAUCUGAGAUGAGAGUUUCAUAAUAAUCCUGCCACACUUCCUAGCAAAGCUCCCUUUCUGCCACUCUCAGAAGCAGGUGACAUGUUUACUUCAUUUUAAGCAAAUUCAACAUAUGGUUACUCAAGUUAUUCCUUUUAUAAAAUGGAUCCCCUACAGUAAUCAUUGAAGAAGCAAGAUCUCCAGUACACAUGAAAAGCAAUCUGUUUUUAAAAUGAAUUUUAUUUUCAAGCAACUUUUUCAAAAGUAAUGUUUGUGAUUAGUACAACUAAUAAUUCUUACAUGCCAGACACUGUUCUAAGCUUUCCAAUUCUCAUUUAAUUCUUGCAACAAUGCAGUGAGGCUGGUGCUGUUUAUAUUCCCAAUUUAUAGAUCAAGUAAGUGAGGCAUGAAGAAAUAAGAUAACUUGCUGAAGGCCAUCCAGCUAGUAAGCCUCAGAGCCAAGUAUAAACCCAGACUGUUGGGGACAGAGUCCAUAGUUUUGAUUGCUACAAUUUUCUGCUUCUACACAUGAGAAGGAAACUGGCUAGUAUUCCGGUCUGGCCAGACUGGGAAGACCCAUGCUGCCAUCUGUCAUGGGGUGAGCUUCCAACAGGAACAGUCUGCUCUGAACCCUCUUUUAUUCUCACCUGUUCUGCUUACCUCUGGAGUUUGUCAUUUGGGAGACUUGAGCCUUCCUCAAUCUCUAGCUUCUAUCACAGAACCUGGAACUGUGUAGAUGCUUAAUGAAGCGUCUGCUAAAUGAAUGUUGGGUGAGUGAGACAGUACACACACGGAUUCCUUUGCAGUGAUGUGAGCUGCUCACACUGGAUGCACACAGGCAGAAAAAAGAGAGAAACUGAGGCAGUUAUUGGAAGGCUCAGCUCAAAUCCCUUCCUACUUUGAUGACUAUCUUUGGUUCUAUUAUAUGGAAAAUUCCAUAUGGGGACUGCAAGCUCUUUGAAUGCAAAAUUCACCACCUCUGCCCUAUUAAUGGAUUCCCAAUAUCUGGCACAGUGCUUGGCUUGUAGUAGGGAUACUGUAUGCUGAAAGCAUGAGCAGUUGGUGGAGUGAAGGAAUGACUGGGAGGAUGAAUACAUAUUUCCUACCCUGCCAAUGUCCAGCUCAGCAGCCUCUAAACUUGUGCAAGCAUCAGGAUCUCUUGGAGAGCUUGUGACAACACAGAUGGCUGGGUACACUCCAGGAGUGUUUGAUUCAACAGGUCUGGGUUGGACCCAGGAAUCUACAUUUCUGACAAGUUCCCAGGUGAUGCUGAUGCUGCUGGUCUGGGCUAUCUACCUUGAGAACCACUGGUCUUAGCAGCCCUAGCUCACUGGUUCUCAAUCUUCACUGCAUAUUGGAACCAGCUGCAGGAAUUUAAGAAAAUGCAGAUUCCUGGGCUCCUUCCCUGGACAUUCUCAUGCAAUUGAUCUGAGGUGUGGGCAGGCAUUGGGGAUUUUAAAAGCUCCCAGUGUGGCAGGGUGUGGUGGCUCACGCCUGUAAUCCCAGUACUUUGGGAGGCCAAGGUUGGCCGAUCACUUGAGGCCAGGAGUUAGAGACCAGCCUGGCCAACAUGGCGAAAUCCCAUCUCUACUAAAAGUACAAAAAUUAGCUGGGUGAGGUGGCAUGCACCUGUAGUCACAGCUGCUCAGGAGGCUAAGGCAUGAGAAUCGCUUGAGCCUGGGAGGUGGAGGCUACAGUGAGCCAAGAUUGCACCACUGCACUCCAGCCUGGGUGACAGAGCAAGACUCUGUCUCAAAAAAUAAAAAAUAUUUAAAAAAAGAGCUCCCAGCGUGUUUCAAAUGCAGCAUAGCCAGAAAAGCUCCAGCCCGGCAUUCAUCUUUGACUCUUUACCUUGAUCUUCUUUGUGGCUGAAUGGGUUGGAGGGCUUAUGAGUGGUUUAGCUCACGUCUGUGCCUCUUGAGGCCCCCAAAAGCCACCUUCCCUGCUAUAUUCUGUGCUUGUUCCAGGCAACAGCUUCUCAAGGUGCUGCUUCCCUGAAAUUUCAUGUCUGUUCUUUGACGCCGUGAGACCCCAUCCCAGCCCUCGCCCACCCCGCACGCUGCAGUGUCUAUUAAGAGCA